CGCGCAGCCACCGCCCUUCCGCUGAGCCACGGGAGCGGCCUCGGAGGCACCGCGUGGGCAUCGCUGCCCCAUAAGUACUGCCCCAUAUGGACUGCUGCCCCAUAACUACUGCUCCAUAAGGACUGCCCCAUAAGGACUGCUGCCCUAUAACUACUGCUGCCCCAUAAGGGCUGCUGCCCCAUAAGUACUGCUCCAUAAGUGCUGCCCCAUAUGGACUGCUGCCCCAUAAGGACUGCCCUAUAUGGACUGCUGCCCCAUAACUACUGCUGCCUCAUAACUACUGCCCCAUAAGUACUGCCCCAUAAGUACUGCCCCAUAAGGACUGCUGCCCCAUAACUACUGCUGGCCCAUAAGUACUGCCCCAUAACUACUGCCCUAUAAGGACUGCCCCAUAAGGACUGCUGCCCCAUAAGGACUGCUGCCCCAGAAGUGCCGCCCCAUAACUACUGCUGCCCCAUAAGUACUUCUGCCCCAUAAGGACUGCUGCCCUAUAACUACUGCUGCCCCAUAAGUACUGCCACCCCACAAGUACUGCUCCAUAAGUGCUGCCCAUAAGGACUGCUGCCCCAUAACUACUGCCCCAUAAGUACUUCUGCCCCAUAAGGACUGCUGCCCCAUAAGUACUGCCCCGUAAGUACUGCUGCCCCAUAAGUACUGCUCCAUAUGGACUGCUGCCCCAUAAUUACUGCUGCCCCAGAACUACUGCUGCCCCAUAUGGACUGCCCCAUAAGGACUGCUGCCCCAGAAGUACUGCCCCAUAACUACUGCCCUAUAAGCACUGCCCCAUAAGGACUGCUGCCCCAUAAGGACUGCCCUAUAAGCACUGCCCCAUAUGGACUGCUGCCCCAUAAGUACUGCUGCCCCAUAAGUACUGCCCCAUAAGUACUGCUGCCCCAUAACUACUGCUGCCCCAUAACUACUGCCCUAUAAGCACUGCCCCAUAUGGACUACCGCCCCAUAAGUACUGCCCAUAAGGACUGCUGCCCCAUAAGUACUGCUGCCCCAUAAGCACUGCCCCAUAACUACUGCUGCCCCAUAACUACUGCCCUAUAAGCACUGCCCCAUAUGGACUGCCGCCCCAUAAGUACUGCCCCAUAAGGACUGCUGCCCCAUAAGUACUGCUGCCCCAUAAGCACUGCCCCAUAAGGACUGCUGCCCCAUAAGUACUGCCCCAUAACUACUGCCCUAUAAGCACUGCCCCAUAUGGACUGCUGCCCCGUAAGUAAUGCCCCAUAAGUACUGUUGCCCCAUAAGUACUGCUGCCCCAUAAGGACUGCUGCCCCAUAAGUACUGCCCCAUAUGGACUGCUGCCCCAUAAGUACUGCUCCAUAAGUGCUGCCCCAUAAGUACUGCUGCUCCAUAAGUACUGCCCCAUAAGUACUGCUGCUCCAUAAGUACUGCCCCAUAUGGACUGCUGCCCCAUAAGGACUGCUGCCCCAUAAGUACUGCUGCCCCAGAAGUGCCGCCCCAUAAGUACUGCUGCCCCAUAAGUACUGCCCCAUAAGUACUGUGGCCCCAUAAGUGCCACCCCAUCAAUACCACCCCAUAAGUGCCAACCCAUAAGUGGUGCCCCAUAAGUGCUGCCCCAUAAGUACCGCCCCAUCAGUGCUGCCCCAUAAGUGCAGCCCCGUAAGUACCGCCCCAUCAGUGCUGCCUCAUAAGUGCAGCCCCAUAAGUGCCGCCCCAUAAUACCCCCCCCAUAGCACAGCCCCAUAAGUACCGCCCCAUAUCACAGCCCCAUAAGUACCCCCCAUAGCACAGCCCCAUAAGUACCCCCCACAGCACAGCCCCACAAGUGCCUGCCCCACACAACCCCAUCAGUGCCCCAUAUCACAGCCCAUAAGUGUCCCACAGAACAGCCCCAUAAGUGCCCCCCAUAGCACAGACCGCAUAAGUACUGCCCCAUAGCACAGACCCCAUAAGUACCGCCCCAUAGCACAGCCCCAUCAGUGCCCACUCCACACAGCCCAUAAGUACCGCCCCACACAGCCCCAUAAGUGCCCCCCAUAGCACAGCCCUAUCAGUACACCCCCCAUAGCACAGGCCCAUAAGUACUGCCCCACAGCACAGCCCCAUAAGUGCCCCCCACAGCACAGCCCCAUAAGUGCCUGCCCCACACAACCCCAUCAGUGCCCCAUAUCACAGCCCCAUAAGUGCCCCAUAGAACAGUCCCAUAAGUGCCCCCAUAAAACAACCCCAUAAGUACUGCCCCAUAACACAGCCCCAUAAGUACCACCCCACACAGCCCCAUAAGUACUGCCCCACAGCACAGCCCCAUAAGUGCCCCCCACAGCACAGCCCCAUAAGUGCCUGCCCCACACAACCCCAUCAGUGCCCCAUAUCACAGCCCCAUAAGUACCCCACACAGCCCCAUAAGUACUGCCCCACAGCACAGCCCCAUAAGUACUGCCCCAUAGAACAGCCCCAUAAGUACCCCCCCAUAGCUCAGCCCCAUAAGUACUGCCCCACAGCACAGCCCCAUAAGUGCCCCCCACAGCACAGCCCCAUAAGUGCCUGCCCCACACAACCCCAUCAGUGCCCCAUAUCACAGCCCCAUAAGUACCCCACAGCACAGCCCCAUAAGUACUGCCCCACAGCACAGCCCCAUAAGUACUGCCCCAUAAAACAGCCCCAUAAGUACCCCCCCACAGCUCAGCCCCAUAAGUACUGCCCCACAGCACAGCCCCAUAAGUGCCCCCCAUAGCACAGCCCCAUAAGUGCCAAUGCCAUAAACCACUGUUCAGUGCUGCCUCACGCAGCCCCAUAAGUGCCCACCCCACACAUGUGGGCCGUGUGCAGUUGCAGCACGCAGCACCGCAUGCAGCGCAUUGCAUGGGCUGCAGCACAGGUUUGCAGCGCGUUGCAUGGAUUGCAGCGUGGCUGCAUGCAUCACAACCUGAUGCAUGGGCUGCAGCACAGAUUGCAGCACGGCUGCAUGCAUCACAGCGUGUUGCAUGGGCUGCAGCACAGAUUGCAGUGCGUUGCAUGGAUUUGCAGCGUGGCUGCAUGCAUCACAACGUGUUGCAUGGGCCGCAGCACGGCUGCAUGGGUUGCAGCACAGUGCAUGGAACGGAUCAGAGCACGGCUGCAUGGAUUGCAGCACCAAUCAGAGCACAUUGCAUGGAGCAUAGCACGGCUGCAUGGAUUGCAGCACAGACUGCAUGGAACAGAUCAGAGCACAGCUGCAUGGAUUGCAGCACAGCUGCAUGGAUCAGAGCACAGCACACUGCAUGGAACACAGCACGGCUGCAUGGGUUGCAGCACAGCUGCAUGGAUCAGAGCACAGCACACUGCAUGGAACACAGCACGGCUGCAUGAAUUGCAGCACCAAUCAGAGCACACCUGCAUGGAGCACAGCAUGGCUGCAUGGAUUACAGCACAGACUGCAUGGAACGGAUCAGAGCACAGCUGCAUGGACUGCAGCACGGCUGCAUGGAGCACUGCACUGCUGCAUGGAUCGGAUCACAGUACAUUGCAUGGAACACAGCACAGCUGCAUGGACUGCAGCACAAUGCAUGGAACGGAUCAGAGCACGGCUGCAUGGGCUGCAGCGCUGAUCAGAGCACACCUGCGUGGAGCACAGCACGGCUGCAUGGGUUGCAGCACAAUGCAUGGGACGGUUCAGAGAACGGCUGCAUGAACAGCAGCACCAAUCAGAGCACACCUGCAUGGAGCACAGCACGGCUGCAUGGGUUGCAGCACAAUGCAUGGGAC
ensembl:lncRNA